CUCUUCCUUUGGUAGAUAAGGCCAUUUAUAGCUCUUUUAUUUCUAUCCUUUUAAUGAGAUUUCUAAGUUUGAAAAAAUAGUUAUUUUCAUAUUUUCUUGAAUAUUCUUGCCUUAACUUACCUCAUGAAUAAUAAGAUUUUCAAGUAAAUAUCUGAAAUAUGUCACUAAUUUAUAGAUGGUAGAAAACUUUUGGAUCAAUCUACUUUGAGAUUAACACGCUUUUCCACUUGUCAAAAUAUAUAUAUAUA
rnacentral:misc_RNA from 1 species